AGACUAACAAUGAAUUUAUUAUCUUCCAGUGAGAACAGUUGAGCGAAUUUCACACCUCACACAAUUGCAAAGGAAUUACGGGCACAUUGACAACACUUGACUCAGUUUGCUUCCAGGAUGAUGUAUUUUUGGAAUUGCUCGGACACCUUCUUGCAUUCUGACCUCUCCGUGCAUCCAACUUCCUUUAAGGUCUCCCAGAAGUGGAAUGAUGCCGCUUCCUCCGCAGUCUCAAGAUGGACGGCACAAAUAAAGACCAUUUUUACCAAUAGUGCAAUUUCACCCUUAAUAGAUCAAACUCUGUCUCCAAAGCCUGGCACAACACAAGAAGCAACAGGAACCUUGACUAUCUAUAGGAAUUCUUGUUUAUCUUUGGAAGGUCAAAGCCUAUCUCAAUUUCAGUUUUCAGCUUAACAUGGGAAAGGUUCAGCUCUUUAAAAAAACUGUGAUAAAAUGUCUAGAAGAAGAAGUCUGGCU